rnacentral:rRNA from 1 species
GACGAACGCUGGCGGCGUGCCUAAUACAUGCAAGUCGAACGCACAGUUUAUACCGUAGCUUGCUACACCAUAGACUGUGAGUUGCGAACGGGUGAGUAACGCGUAGGUAACCUGCCUGGUAGCGGGGGAUAACUAUUGGAAACGAUAGCUAAUACCGCAUAAUAUUAAUUAUUGCAUGAUAAUUAAUUGAAAGGUGCAAUUGCACCACUACCAGAUGGACCUGCGUUGUAUUAGCUAGUAGGUGAGGUAACGGCUCACCUAGGCGACGAUACAUAGCCGACCUGAGAGGGUGAUCGGCCAAACUGGGACUGGGACACGGCCCAGACUCCUACGGGAGGCAGCAGUAGGGAAUCUUCGGCAAUGGACGAAAGUCUGACCGAGCAACGCCGCGUGAGUGAAGAAGGUUUUCGGAUCGUAAAGCUCUGUUGUAAGAGAAGAACGGGUGUGAGAGUGGAAAGUUCACACUGUGACGGUAUCUUACCAGAAAGGGACGGCUAACUACGUG